GAUGAACGCUAGCUACAGGCUUAACACAUGCAAGUCGAGGGACAGGCGCACGGGUGAGUAACACGUAUCCCACCUGCCCUUUACUCGGGGAUAGCCUUUCGAAAGAAAGAUUAAUACCCGAUAUAAAGGAUGGGGAUGCGUUCCAUUAGGUUGUUGGUGAGGUAACGGCUCACCAAGCUUUCGAUGGAUAGGGGUUCGGAGAGGAAGGACCCGCACAAGGGAAAUGAGACACGGUCCAAACUCCUACGGGAAGCAGCAGUGAGGAAUAUUGGUCAAUGGGCGCUAACCGGAACCAGCCAAGUAGCGGGAAGGAUGAAGGCUUAUGGGUCAUAAACUUCUUUUAUAUAAGAAUAGGUAUUAUAUGAAUAAGGAUCGGCUAACUCCGUGCCAGCCGCCGCGGUAAUAC
rnacentral:rRNA from 1 species